rnacentral:rRNA from 1 species
GGAUUAGAUACCCUGGUAGUCCACGCCGUAAACGAUGUCUACUAGCAGCUCGCCUCGUUAGAGGGGUUUUGCGCAGCUAACGCGUUAAGUAGACCGCCUGGGGAGUACGGCCGCAAGGUUAAAACUCAAAUGAAUUGACGGGGGCCCGCACAAGCGGUGGAGCAUGUGGUUUAAUUCGAUGCAACGCGAAGAACCUUACCAUCCCUUGACAUCCUGAGAAGUUAGCAGAGAUGCUUUCGUGCCUUCGGGAACUCAGUGACAGGUGCUGCAUGGCUGUCGUCAGCUCGUGUUG